AUGGAUAGAAAAGUAUCUGAUACAUAUGUAAGUUUUGAAACUUUUCCAAAACAAAGUAGUAGCUACCAAGAUUUUUUUGAUUGGAUACUUAAAUAUCCAAUUUUUAAUGAUAUUAGGCCAAUCAAUUUGUCAAAUCGAUUGAUCAAUAUAUACCGUAAUGAGGAUAAUAAACAGAAAGAAAGAGUGGAAAAAGCAGUAGUAAAAAAAAACAAACCAAUUAAAAAAAAACCAAACGAUGGUGCAAAAAUAUCCAAUAACUUACCUACAAAAUUUUUUAAAAAUGAAAUAAAUAAAAAUGGUAAAACAAAAGUAGAAAAAAAAAAUGAUAUACUAUAUUGUGUGUGUUUGUAUGUAAGUUUAUAUAUUAACCGCGCAUACCUUAGUUUUGUCCACAUAUAUGUACAUGUAUAUGUACAUAUAUAUAUGUUUACAUAUAUAUGUCUAUAUAUAUAUGUCUACAUAUAUAUAUAUAUAUAUAUAUAUUAUAUGUGUGAACGCUUUUAUUAUUUUCAGAUUAUAGUUCAAUAUGUAACUCCAAAUUUUACGUAAAUAUAAUUAAAAAGAGUGAAACUAUUUGUAAUACUUAUAAUGAAAGUUUGAAAGAAGAAAGAAUAAAUAAAUUAAUACUCAAAAGAGUUCA
rnacentral:lncRNA from 1 species